rnacentral:rRNA from 1 species
UACGUAGGUGGCAAGCGUUGUCCGGAUUUAUUGGGCGUAAAGCGCGCGCAGGCGGUUCUUUAAGUCUGAUGUGAAAUCUCGGGGCUCAACCCCAAGCGGUCAUUGGAAACUGGAGGACUUGAGUGCAGAAGAGAAGAGCGGAAUUCCACGUGUAGCGGUGAAAUGCGUAGAGAUGUGGAGGAACACCCAGUGGCGAAGGCGGCUCUUCGU